GCUCAUCCUUCUCAGUCAGUAGAGCGUGAGACCCAUAUUCUCAGGGCAGUGGGUUCAAGCCCCACGUUGGGCA